UACGGAGGGUGCAAACGUUGCUCGGAAUUAUUGGGCGUAAAGCGCACGUAGGCGGUUUGUUAAGUCGGAUGUGAAAUCCCUGGGCUCAACCCAGGAACUGCGUCCGAUACUGGUUGGCUUGAAUCCGGGAGAGGGAUGUGGAAUUCCAGGUGUAGCGGUGAAAUGCGUAGAUAUCUGGAGGAACACCGGUGGCGAAGGCGACAUCCUGGACCGGUAUUGACGCUGAGGCGCGAAAGCCAGGGGAGCAAACGGG
rnacentral:rRNA from 1 species